rnacentral:rRNA from 1 species
AGGCUUAACACAUGCAAGUCGUGCGAGAAAGUAUCUUCGGAUAUUAGUAGAGCGGCGGACGGGUGAGUAACGCGUAGGAAUCUACCUAGUAGAAGGGGAUAGCCCGGGGAAACUCGGAUUAAUACCGUAUACCUCCUUAGGGAGAAAGAGGGCCUCUCUUGAAGCUCUCGCUAUUAGAUGAGCCUGCGUAAGAUUAGCUUGUUGGUAAGGUAAUGGCUUACCAAGGCUACGAUCUUUAGCUGGUCUGAGAGGACGAUCAGCCACAUUGGGACUGAGACACGGCCCAGACUCCUACGGGAGGCAGCAGUGGGGAAUAUUGGACAAUGGGCGCAAGCCUGAUCCAGCCAUACCGCGUGUGUGAAGAAGGCUCUAGGGUUGUAAAGCACUUUAAGCAGGGAGAAAAAGUUAUAAAUUAAUACUUUAUAACCGUGAUGUUACCUGCAGAAUAAGCACCGGCUAAUUCCGUGCCAGCAGCCGCGGUAAUACGGAAGGUGCAAGCGUUAAUCGGAAUUACUGGGCGUAAAGCGCGCGUAGGUGGUUUGUUAAGUUGGAUGUGAAAGCCCUGGGCUCAACCUAGGAACUGCAUCCAAAACUAACUCACUAGAGUACGAUAGAGGGAGGUAGAAUUCAUAGUGUAGCGGUGGAAUGCGUAGAUAUUAUGAAGAAUACCAGUGGCGAAGGCGGCCUCCUGGAUCUGUACUGACACUAAGGUGCGAAAGCGUGGGUAGCGAACAGGAUUAGAUACCCUGGUAGUCCACGCCGUAAACGAUGACAACUAGCUGUUGGGAGACAAUGUCUUUCAGUGGCGCAGCUAACGUUUUAAGUUGUCCGCCUGGG